rnacentral:rRNA from 1 species
GAUGAACGCUGGCGGCGUGCCUAAUACAUGCAAGUCGAGCGAACGGACGAGAAGCUUGCUUUUCUGAUGUUAGCGGCGGACGGGUGAGUAACACGUGGAUAACCUACCUAUAAGACUGGGAUAACUUCGGGAAACCGGAGCUAAUACCGGAUAAUAUUUUGAACCGCAUGGUUCAAAAGUGAAAGACGGUCUUGCUGUCACUUAUAGAUGGAUCCGCGCUGCAUUAGCUAGUUGGUAAGGUAACGGCUUACCAAGGCAACGAUGCAUAGCCGACCUGAGAGGGUGAUCGGCCACACUGGAACUGAGACACGGUCCAGACUCCUACGGGAGGCAGCAGUAGGGAAUCUUCCGCAAUGGGCGAAAGCCUGACGGAGCAACGCCGCGUGAGUGAUGAAGGUCUUCGGAUCGUAAAACUCUGUUAUUAGGGAAGAACAUAUGUGUAAGUAACUGUGCACAUCUUGACGGUACCUAAUCAGAAAGCCACGGCUAACCACGUGCCAGCAGCCGCGGUAAUACGUAGGUGGCAAGCGUUAUCCGGAAUUAUUGAGCGUAAAGCGCGCGUAGGCGGUUUUUUAAGUCUGAUGUGAAAGCCCACGGCUCAACCGUGGAGGGUCAUUGGAAACUGGAAAACUUGAGUGCAGAAGAGGAAAGUGGAAUUCCAUGUGUAGCGGUGAAAUGCGCAGAGAUGUGGAGGAACACCAGUGGCGAAGGCGACUUUCUGGUCUGUAACUGACGCUGAUGUGCGAAAGCGUGGGGAUCAAACAGGAUUAGAUACCCUGGUAGUCCACGCCGUAAACGAUGAGUGCUAAGUGUUAGGGGGUUUCCGCCCCUUAGUGCUGCAGCUAACGCAUUAAGCACUCCGCCUGGGGAGUACGACCGCAAGGUUGAAACUCAAAGGAAUUGACGGGGGCCCGCACAAGCGGUGGAGCAUGUGGUUUAAUUCGAAGCAACGCGAAGAACCUUACCAAAUCUUGACAUCCUUUGACAACUCUAGAGAUAGAGCCUUCCCCUUCGGGGGACAAAGUGACAGGUGGUGCAUGGUUGUCGUCAGCUCGUGUCGUGAGAUGUUGGGUUAAGUCCCGCAACGAGCGCAACCCUUAAGCUUAGUUGCCAUCAUUAAGUUGGGCACUCUAAGUUGACUGCCGGUGACAAACCGGAGGAAGGUGGGGAUGACGUCAAAUCAUCAUGCCCCUUAUGAUUUGGGCUACACACGUGCUACAAUGGACAAUACAAAGGGCAGCGAAACCGCGAGGUCAAGCAAAUCCCAUAAAGUUGUUCUCAGUUCGGAUUGUAGUCUGCAACUCGACUACAUGAAGCUGGAAUCGCUAGUAAUCGUAGAUCAGCAUGCUACGGUGAAUACGUUCCCGGGUCU